AGAGUUUGAUCCUGGCUCAGGAUGAACGCUAGCGACAGGCUUAACACAUGCAAGUCGAGGGGCAGCAUUAUUUGUAGCAAUACAGAUAGAUGGCGACCGGCGCACGGGUGAGUAACGCGUAUGCAACCUACCUAUCAGAGGGGGAUAACCCGGCGAAAGUCGGACUAAUACCGCAUAAAACAGGGGUCCCGCAUGGGAAUAUUUGUUAAAGAUUAAUUGCUGAUAGAUGGGCAUGCGUUCCAUUAGAUAGUUGGUGAGGUAACGGCUCACCAAGUCUGCGAUGGAUAGGGGUUCUGAGAGGAAGGUCCCCCACACUGGUACUGAGACACGGACCAGACUCCUACGGGAGGCAGCAGUGAGGAAUAUUAGUCAAUGGGCGAGAGCCUGAACCAGCCAAGUCGCGUGAAGGAUGAAGGAUCUAUGGUUCGUAAACUUCUUUUAUAGGGGAAUAAAGUGCGGGACGUGUCCUGUUUUGUAUGUACCCUAUGAAUAAGGAUCGGCUAACUCCGUGCCAGCAGCCGCGGUAAUACGGAGGAUCCGAGCGUUAUCCGGAUUUAUUGGGUUUAAAGGGUGCGUAGGUGGCUUUUUAAGUCAGCGGUGAAAGUUUGUGGCUCAACCAUAAAAUUGCCGUUGAAACUGGGGGGCUUGAGUAUAUUUGAGGUAGGCGGAAUGCGUGGUGUAGCGGUGAAAUGCAUAGAUAUCACGCAGAACUCCAAUUGCGAAGGCAGCUUACUAAACUAUAACUGACACUGAAGCACGAAAGCGUGGGGAUCAAACAGGAUUAGAUACCCUGGUAGUCCACGCAGUAA
rnacentral:rRNA from 1 species